rnacentral:rRNA from 1 species
UACGUAGGGCGCAAGCGUUGUCCGGAAUUAUUGGGCGUAAAGAGCUCGUAGGUGGCUUGUCACGUCGGGUGUGAAAGCUUGGGGCUUAACUCCAGGUCUGCAUUCGAUACGGGCUGGCUAGAGGUAGGUAGGGGAGAACGGAAUUCCUGGUGUAGCGGUGAAAUGCGCAGAUAUCAGGAGGAACACCGGCGGCGAAGGCGGUUCUCUGGGCCUGUACUGACGCUGAGGAGCGAAAGCGUGGGGAGCAAACAGG